CCUACGGGAGGCAGCAGUAGGGAAUAUUGCUCAAUGGGGGAAACCCUGAAGCAGCAACGCCGCGUGGAGGAUGAAGGUUUUCGGAUUGUAAACUCCUUUUGUUAGAGAAGAUAAUGACGGUAUCUAACGAAUAAGCACCGGCUAACUCCGUGCCAGCAGCCGCGGUAAUACGGAGGUUGCAAGCGUUACUCGGAAUCACUGGGCGUAAAGAGCGCGUAGGCGGGAUAGCAAGGCAGAUGUGAAAUCCUAUGGCUUAACCAUUGAACUGCCAUUGAAACUGUUCAGCUAGAGUGCGGGAGAGGUAAGCGGAAUUCGUGGUGUAGCGGUGAAAUGCGUAGAUAUUAGGAGGAACACCAGUUGCGAAGGCGACUUACUAGACCGUAACUGACGCUGAGGCGCGAAAGCGUGGGGAGCAAACAGGAUUAGAUACCCCUGUAGUC
rnacentral:rRNA from 1 species